UGGACAAAUUAUUGUAUUCGAUUGUAUUGACAGCGUGAAAUAGGGGAUUACACUGUUUUUAAAACGGAAAGUGAAUCAAUUAACAUAAUAGACUCCU
rfam:Nicotiana sylvestris Nsyl_contig177114, whole genome shotgun sequence.